rnacentral:rRNA from 1 species
UGAAUACGAGACGCUAAGGCGUCGAAGUAGUGUAUGUCAUACUUCCAAGAAAAGCUUGCACUGUCAUAGAUAAAAAACGCCUGUACCAUAACCGACACAGGUGGGUAGGUAGAGUAUACUAAGGGGCGCGAGAUAACUCUCUCUAAGGAACUCGGCAAAAUAACUCCGUAACUUCGGGAGAAGGAGUGCCUUAUCGUAAGGUUGCAAUAACAAGAUCCAAGCAACUGUUUAUCAAAAACACAGGUCUCCGCUAAGUCGUAAGACGAUGUAUGGGGGCUGACGCCUGCCCAGUGCCAGAAGGUUAAAGAAGUUGGUUAGCAAUUGCGAAGCUGAUAACUGAAGCCCUGGUGAACGGCGGCCGUAACUAUAACGGUCCUAAGGUAGCGAAAUUCCUUGUCGGGUAAGUUCCGACCCGCACGAAAGGCGUAAUGAUUUGGAUACUGUCUCGGAGAGGGGCUCGGUGAAAUAGACUUGUCUGUGAAGAUGCGGACUACCUGCACCAGGACAGAAAGACCCUAUGAAGCUUUACUGUAACUUGAAAUUGAAAUUCGACUUUAUUCGCGCAGUAUAGGUGGGAGGCGUUGAUUAUAAUCUUGUGGGAUUAUUGGAGCCAUCAGUGAGAUACCACUCUUGUAAUGUUAGAUUUCUAACUUUGAAUCAUUAUCUGGUCAAAGAACAGUUUCAGGCGGGCAGUUUGACUGGGGCGGUCGCCUCCUAAACGGUAACGGAGGCGUACAAAGGUUUCCUCUGAACGGUUAGAAAUCGUAUCUAGAGUGUAAAGGCAUAAGGAAGCUUGACUGUGAGACCUACAAGUCGAGCAGGGACGAAAGUCGGUCUUAGUGAUCUGACGGUACUGAGUGGAAAGGCCGUCACUCAACGGAUAAAAGUUACUCUAGGAUAACAGGCUGAUCUCCCCCAAGAGUUCACAUCGACGGGGAGGUUUGGCACCUCGAUGUCGGCUCAUCGCAUCCUGGGGCGGUAGUACGUCCCAAGGGUUGGGCUGUUCGCCCAUGAAAGCGGUACGCGAGCUGGGUUCAGAACGUCGUGAGACAGUUCGGUCCAUAUCCGGUGUAGGCGUUAGAAUAUUGAGAGGAGCCUUCUUUAGUACGAGAGGACCGAGAAGGACAUACCUCUGGUGUACCAGUUAUCGUGCCAACGGUAAACGCUGGGUAGCUAUGUAUGGAGUGGAUAACCGCUGAAAGCAUCUAAGUGGGAAGCCCACCUCAAGAUAAG